UGGACAGCAUGGAUUAUUUUUUUUCAAUUUCUGCAUAAAACUACACUUAGAAAUGUUACUACAUAACUUGAAAUGGAAAUAAAUGUAGAAGAUAUAUUAUACUUCAAAAAAUACAUACUUUGUGUUAUGGUUUGUAUCUAGAUGUCCCUCCAAAGCCUCAUGUGCUCAUAGGUGGUGCUUUUCAGAAAUGACUGGAUCUAGGGAGGGUAAAUGCUGCUCAAAGGUCUGUCACUGGGAUUAAGGGUGCGCAAUACUGGAUUAGUUCACUAACUGGUUUAUCAUAGUUCUGAGGGUGGGUAAUGGAAAGCCCACCAUAGGUGUGGGUGGUAUCACCCAAAAAGUUUGCAGUUUGGAUGGGAUAAAAAGGAAAGGGAGGCUUGCUGCUGCUGCUUGCACUUCAUUUUUUUCCUCCCUACCCUGCCAUGGACAGCUUCUUCUCUGUGAUUCCCCUCUGCAAUGCCACCCAGUCUUGGAACCAACAGACUAUGAACUGAAACCUCUACAAACUUGAACUGAGGUCAACUAGAUUUUUAUCUGAGCUCCAAACUGGGAAGCAGAAAACAGCAAAAAUGAAACAUCACAACUUGAUUGGAUCCUGCUUUUAGCACAAGAUUGUACGACCCACUGCUGCACAGGAUGCUUCCAGAUUAGAAGGCCAAAGAUAAGCAAGGAAAUGUGGCUGGCCCCCGUGUUCACAUUUAUUUCAAGAAGAAUAGGUACAGUUUUGCACACUAGGGACCAAGAAGCGCCCAGGGACACUGCUGGGAAGGGACCACUGGAGGGAAAACCUGCGGGUAAGGCCUCUGUGACUGCUCACCUGGUCUGUGACCAUGGCAACUGAGGUAUGGGUCCCAUGUGUGAUAGAGGGCCAUGUGUUAAAUUUUAAAAAGCAAGGAUGUAUAAUAUGUAAUGACUUACUAUGUGUUUUAUUAUUUCUAAAGAUUGGCAUUCAAGUGUCUUAAGUUCAAAGGUUUUUCCACUUCAAAAUGAAAUGUGAAAAAACUCACUCCGAACACUUAAGAAUAACUCAACAAGAUUAGUUUUGAAUUGUUGAAGUGAAUAAUUCAGAGACUAACAUGAUGAAUGCGGGUUAAAUGCAUGACUUUGAACACUACAGGAUUGAGUGAAUUUUGCCCAAAACUAAAGAAUCCUUGCUAUUUUCAAAAUUCCAUAUGAGUAGAAUUUUUCUAAAUAUUUACUUAUGUAAAAUAAAUACCAGGAAUAACAAUCCCUAACAAUAAAAGAUGGGCCUGCCAAGUUUUUGCCCACCAGACAAUGCAGAGGAGACUUCGCCCAGAAAUGAGUGCCAACCCACAACUUACUGAGUCAGCAACUGAAUAAAUCAGAGACUAGAAACUUCUGUCUGUAGACAUCACAGUAUAUAACUGCAUUACUUAUUUUUACUUCCAAGAAUGGGUGAUGAAUUGCUAGUCAGCUGAAACCUCUUGCCUAUAUUUUACAAGGCUUCUACGUCUCCCAGCUUUUAAAAUGAUAAGGUACUUUGUCUAGAAACCUACUGAUAAAAAAGGAAUUUGUAAAUGAAGACAGAAGUUUUCUUUGGUCAGUUUCCAGCAGGCUUGGAGGUGAAAGAGGGUGGGAGAGGGAGAGGAUGGUGGGAGGGAAGAAACCCUCAAGCUGAAUGAAAUCCUAAACAGAAAAAUAGGAAAGUCUGGGCUGCAGUGUGAUCUGGGUGAUUUGUAUUGAACUUUAGAGCUGGGUCCCUUAAAGAAAGUUCUGGAAUACUGGCACUGCCUAACCUCUAACUCCCUCAACCCCCAUUUAAUUCUACCUUAAAAUAAUUCUGUGAAACGAAAAUGUUUUUCUAUAGGAAAGUGAACAUAAUGUCUUUGUCCUGAGCAAAUAAUUUUCUAUUUUGCAUUUUGUAACAGUUAAAAUUUGACACAGAUUCUGUUUUUCAAAAUAUUUCAUUACAGAAGUUUCCCAAAGUUUCUUCUUUGUCAAAACAACUUAAAAUCUAUCCUGAUCAUUCUGCAACUGGUUGGUGUAAGGAACACCUAAGUUUUCUCAUCUACUCAUGGUUUUUAGUUAAAAUAUAACUAGCAAGGAGAAAUUUAGAUAUUUUUAACUUAGAUGAUAUAGUGA